UGAGUGUUCGCCCUUGGUCUACGCGGAUCAGGGGCCCAGCUAACGCGUGAAACACUCCGCCUGGGGAGUACGGUCGCAAGACCGAAACUCAAAGGAAUUGACGGGGGCCUGCACAAGCGGUGGAGCAUGUGGUUUAAUUCGAUACUACGCGCAAAACCUUACCAGCCCUUGACAUAUGAACAACAAAACCUGUCCUUAACAGGAUGGUACUGACUUUCAUACAGGUGCUGCAUGGCUGUCGUCAGCUCGUGUCGUGAGAUGUUUGGUCAAGUCCUAUAACGAGCGAAACCCUCGUUUUGUGUUGCUGAGACAUGCGCCUAAGGAGAAAUUGCCACCGAAGUGAGCCGAGGAGCCGAGUGACGUGCCAGCGCUACUACUUGAUUGAGUGCCAGCACGUAGCUGUGCUUUCAGCAAGAAUUUCACCAUUGGGAGCCGGUGCCUUUCGAAGCACUUUCACGUGUGAACCGAAGUCGUCUUGCCCAAGACCCACGGAGACCUACCUAUAGUGACGUCAAAGUACCAGUGAGCAUGGAGGUUUGGUUGAAAUUGGUUACGACGACGUCGAGUUGGCGGCGGAGGAAGACUCGGCAUGAAGGCCAGCCGCCCGGUGGUGUGGUACGUAGUGGUAAUAGUACGCGCCCCGCUCCGAAACAAAGAAAAAGGUGCGUGCCGCACUCACGAGGGACUGCCAGUGAGAUACUGGAGGAAGGUGGGGAUGACGUCAAGUCCGCAUGGCCCUUAUGGGCUGGGCCACACACGUGCUACAAUGGCAAUGACAAUGGGAAGCAAGGCUGUAAGGCGGAGCGAAUCCGGAAAGAUUGCCUCAGUUCGGAUUGUUCUCUGCAACUCGGGAACAUGAAGUUGAAAUCGCUAGUAAUCGCGGAUCAGCAUGCCGCGGUGAAUAUGUACCCGGGCCCUGUACACACCGCCCGUCACACCCUGGGAAUUGGUUUCGCCCGAAGCAUCGGACCAAUGAUCACCCAUGACUUCUGUGUACCACUAGUGCCACAAAGGCCUUUGGUGGUCUUAUUGGCGCAUACCACGGUGGGGUCUUCGACUGGGGUGAAGUCGUAACAAGGUAGCCGUAGGGGAACCUGUGGCUG
rnacentral:rRNA from 1 species